GCGUGUAUAGCUCAAUUGGCAGAGCAGGAGAUUUCCAAUCUUCAGGUUGCAGGUUCGAUGCCUGUUACACGCU
rnacentral:tRNA from 1 species